rnacentral:piRNA from 1 species
UGGUUACUUACCUGUAGGCGCUUGGAGC